rnacentral:rRNA from 1 species
AUUGAACGCUGGCGGCAGGCCUAACACAUGCAAGUCGAGCGGAUGAAGGGAGCUUGCUCCUGGAUUCAGCGGCGGACGGGUGAGUAAUGCCUAGGAAUCUGCCUGGUAGUGGGGGAUAACGUCCGGAAACGGGCGCUAAUACCGCAUACGUCCUGAGGGAGAAAGUGGGGGAGCUUCGGACCUCACGCUAUCAGAUGAGCCUAGGUCGGAUUAGCUAGUUGGUGGGGUAAAGGCCUACCAAGGCGACGAUCCGUAACUGGUCUGAGAGGAUGAUCAGUCACACUGGAACUGAGACACGGUCCAGACUCCUACGGGAGGCAGCAGUGGGGAAUAUUGGACAAUGGGCGAAAGCCUGAUCCAGCCAUGCCGCGUGUGUGAAGAAGGUCUUCGGAUUGUAAAGCCCUUUAAGUUGGGAGGAAGGGCAGUAAGUUAAUACCUUGCUGUUUUGACGUUACCAACAGAAUAAGCACCGGCUAACUUCGUG